CCUACGGGGUGCAGCAGUGAGGAAUAUUGGUCAAUGGACGAGAGUCUGAACCAGCCAAGUAGCGUGAAGGAUGACUGCCCUAUGGGUUGUAAACUUCUUUUAUAAAGGAAUAAAACGAGGCACGUGUGCCUUUUUGCAUGUACUUUAUGAAUAAGGAUCGGCUAACUCCGUGCCAGCAGCCGCGGUAAUACGGAGGAUCCGAGCGUUAUCCGGAUUUAUUGGGUUUAAAGGGAGCGUAGAUGGGUUGUUAAGUCAGUUGUGAAAGUUUGCGGCUCAACCGUAAAAUUGCAAUUGAUACUGGCAGUCUUGAGUACAGUUGAGGUAGGCGGAAUUCGUGGUGUAGCGGUGAAAGGCUUAGAUAUCACGAAGAACCCCGAUUGCGAAGGCAGCUUACUAAACUGUGACUGACAUUGAUGCUCGAAAGUGUGGGUAUCAAACAGGAUUAGAUACCCUUGUAGUC
rnacentral:rRNA from 1 species